UGAGUGCGAGCUGCUACGGCAGCGAAGUUGGUGACGUCAAGCUUCCAAGAAAAGCCCUAUACCCGUUAAGGCAUCAUGGCCUGUACCCGAAACCGACACAGGUGGGGUGGUAGAGAAUACCGAGGGGCGCGAGGUAACUCUCUCUAAGGAACUCGGCAAAAUGGCCCCGUAACUUCGGGAGAAGGGGUGCCACCGCAAGGUGGUCGCAGUGAAGAGGCCCAGGCGACUGUUUACCAAAAACACAGGUCUCCGCUAAGUCGCAAGACGAUGUAUGGGGGCUGACGCCUGCCCAGUGCCGGAAGGUUAAGGAAGCUGGUCAGCGCAAGCGAAGCUGGCGACUGAAGCCCCGGUGAACGGCGGCCGUAACAAUAACGGUCCUAAGGUAGCGAAAUUCCUUGUCGGGUAAGUUCCGACCCGCACGAAAGGCGUAACGAUCUGGGCGCUGUCUCGGAGAGAGGCUCGGCGAAAUAGAAUUGUCUGUGAAGAUGCGGACUACGUGCACCCGGACAGAAAGACCCUAUGAAGCUUUACUGUAGCUUGGUAUUGUGCCCGGGCUCUGAAUGCGCAGGAUAGGUGGGAGGCUUUGAUCAUCGGCUUGCGGGUCGAUGUGAGCCAACGGUGAGAUACCACUCUUUCAGAGCUAGGGUUCUAACAGUCACCCGUUAUCCGGGGACUGGACAGUAUCAGGUGGGCAGUUUGACUGGGGCGGUCGCCUCCUAAAAGGUAACGGAGGCGCGCAAAGGUCUGCUCAGGCUGGUUGGAAAUCAGCCGACGAGUGUAAAAGCAGAAGCAGGCUUGACUGUGAGACCUACAAGUCGAACAGGGAGGAAACUCGGCUUUAGUGAUCCGACGGUUCUGCGUGGAAGGGCCGUCGCUCAACGGAUAAAAGUUACUCUAGGAUAACAGGCUGAUCUCCCCCAAGAGUUCACAUCGACGGGGAGGUUUGGCACCUCGAUGUCGGCUCAUCGCAACCUGGGGCUGAAGUCGGUCCCAAGGGUUGGGCUGUUCGCCCAUUAAAGCGGUACGCGAGCUGGGUUCAGAACGUCGUGAGACAGUUCGGUCCAUAUCCGGUGCAUGCGCAGGAAUAUUGAGAGGAGUUCUCCCUAGUACGAGAGGACCGGGAGGAACGCACCUCUGGUGUACCAGUUAUCGUGCCAACGGUAAACGCUGGGUAGCCAUGUGCGGAGAGGAUAACCGCUGAAAGCAUCUAAGUGGGAAGCCCACCUCAAGAUGAGUAUUCCCAUGGCGUUAGCCAGUAAGGUCACGGGAAGAACACCCGUUGAUAGGCUCUAUGUGGAAGCGCAGUAAUGCGUGAAGCAGAGGAGUACUAAUAGACCGAGGGCUUGGC
rnacentral:rRNA from 1 species